UCGUGAUAUAGUAAAUUCUUUUUGUGUUGGUUGUUGGACAUUAUAACAAUAACCAUUGAAGAAAAAUCUUUCACUCAUCUCUCUUUGAAGUUAUACCUAUAAUGAAAAAAAAACUUCUGUUUGAAAUGUAAAGCCUACAUGGAUUUAUGUCUGACUGAAGUGAACGUUGCGAUUGGCGAAUUUAUAAUCGUUUCGAAAACUUAGUCUGACGCUAGCGAAUGCUUCCUUAUAUGCCCAAAUCAACUACAGACAUUAUAUACUAUGUAAAUAUAUCAUACCUCGGCGUAUUGAUUGGACCUGCGCACUGCAGACUUCGCAGUACUGCAGUGUCGCCUGCAUUCAGCCAUUAGCUGUUCUGCUGCGGAAGCCUUUGAUUAUUGUCUUUAUCUACGAGUCUUAGCCAGGAAAGACAAAGAGGGUGUGGUCCUGAGACACGUGGCGCGUCGGAGGCGCUUCGAGCGACCCGAACCGGUCCUUCGAACCACCACUGAGGUUCUACUGAUUUCUUAAGAUACCCAACACGCUCGAGAUCGAAAGAUGGAGCGAGUGAUGCCUCGGUAGGGCUGCGCCCUCUGGUCGACAGCAGUACUUCUUCUGGGGCCUACUAACAGGUCAUAGCUUCAAGAUGAACGUGGUACGUGAACGACGGGUCGUGUAUGACGAGGAGAUAGAAAUAAAGAAACUCAUCCCCAAAAUAGUAACUGUUAUUGUGGUGGACUAUAUACUGGAAAGACUCUUAUUAGGAACAAAUUUUACUUAUUUACUCAUACGAUAUUAUACUAGACCACUAGUCCAUGCAUUGAAGGAACAUUGGAAACGGUUUAAAGAUGUAAUCAUGCAGACUGAGGAAUCACACGCACAGACGAUGGACUAAAUAAAUGACAAUAAAAUUUCUACAAACUACAAACUACUACAAUACACUACAAUGUUGAAUAAAUAUGGCGUAUAAGUGAACAGAAGCAUAUAAUUGCUUUUGUGCAUAUUGCCGGCAUAGCAUAACAACUAUUGUGUCGUUUAAAAAUGUAACUUAAAGGCGUGAAAAUGUAGUCUAAUUUUGUAUGUAAUAUCACAGGAUUAAGUUACAUUUUUAAAUAUAUCAUUAAAAAUGCCAUGUCGUCAAUAAUGCUGAACCAAAUCUUGCAAACAUUUUGUUUUAGUGACGAACUGUUUGCAAGAUUAUCUUUUUUUAUUUAAUGUUUCAAACGAUCGCCCAAAUUGUAAUCGUAUUAUAGUUAUAAUGUCAGAGGUGAGCGAUUAGAAACAGCAAGCAUAUUGGAAUAUAAAGGAUCUCUUAUAUUAAAGGUCUUUUAUAUUACCAAACUACCGCUACGUUUCACCCUUCUUUCUUCUGGUUUUUUCCAACUUGGACUGAAUCUAAUUAACCUGAUUUGGACCUCAACCCAGUUGGAUAAAAUGAUAUAGAAAAAGGGAUGGUAGUAUUAACUCUAUAGCAAUUACCUUCUGCCCUCCACAUCCUAAAAAUGAAACCACGUUUUUUGAAAAACCCGUGUCAUUCUUUACUUCUCUUCUGUGCCAUAAAAUUGAAAUCAGCUUUGAGAAUAGGCUUGCACUUCCUGGUCGCUCCCCUCUUCUAAAUGUUGGGAAACUGUACCAAAAUAUACAACACGACUAAGAUAAGUACUAAAAUGUAAGACUUAAUUCUGUGAAUUUUAAGAUCGGUGUACAUUUGAUAAGUGUGUUUACGUUUAAGUGCAUUUAAGCUGGAACAUUUUAAGGUUCCAGUUUAUCUGAAAAUUUAGAUAUUAGAACGUCUCUUUUGUAAUAUCGUCCCUUUCUGAAUGUCGCCCGAUUAAGAACGUCUCUUUUAUUAAAAUGUCGACUCAUUCUAGAAUUGUAAUCUAUAUAUAAUAAAUGUUUAAAAG